rnacentral:tRNA from 1 species
ACCCCCGUGGCUCAACGGAUAGAGCGCCGGGUUGCGGGCCCGGAGGCUGCGGGUUCAAGUCCCGCCGGGGGCG